CGCCGCGGCGCGCUCCUGAUGAGUGCUGUGUCCAGGAUGACCAUGAAUUCAAGCUCUGGAGCUUGAGAUGAACUGGUCCGACUUCCAGAAGAGAAGGAAAAGCCAGUGCAGUUACCUGACAGUGAGUAAACCCGAUGUUUCUGGUGGUUUCGUCAGAUCUGCCAUCACCUGCCAGCCUGACCUGCUUUGAUCCCGCAGACUGUCCCUGUCCGCUUAUGAACAAAAGGACAGGCUAUUGCACAGCAGCCCAUGGUUUGGUACACAGUUGCUGCAGGUACUUAAAAUGGCUGCCUGAACUUAAACUGGGAGGGUAGCCAUUAGNAGAUAGAAACCUACCUCCUAUAUUUCUUAGGAGUCUUGUGACUUAGAAACCCUGUUCUUCAUUCCUCCCUAAAUGGCCAACCACCGUGGGCAAGGGUUCACCUGCCACUCAUGAUGCCAGCACUCACAGAACAGGAGCAGGGCAGGGAUGCUGGGUGGAGCUAACUGGGUUACCGAAUGACACCUGGAGAAGCAGGCUAAUGGCCUUACACUAUACAGAGGAUACAGAUGUCUCCAUAUCCUUAUUACUGAACCACAAGUGAAACCCUGAAAGCCCCUGGAAUAUGCAGUGCGCCAGUGUAAGGUACAAGUUCCAGAUUACACAAGCAGAGAGUAGUGGCAUCGCACUGAAUGCAAGAAACUGAAGUUCCAGGCCUCAGAAUUAGUAAUGUGUGCUCGAGAGUGACCAGUCCUCAGGACAGAUGUAGGACGUUUGGAAGCAGUGAGAUAUAAGUAGAAGUGUUUUGUAAGUGUACAUAGAUGCUGAAGAAAGGGAAGACAUUCAGUAUAGAUAGUUAAUAGAAAAAUAUUCCCUGGCGGUGGUGGCGCAUGCCUUUAAU